rnacentral:tRNA from 1 species
GCCUUCGUGGUGUAGUGGUCAGCACGGUGGGCGCGUAUUCCUGAGGUCUGUGGGUUCGAGUCCCGGCGAAGGUG